rnacentral:rRNA from 1 species
AUUGAACGCUGGCGGCAUGCCUUACACAUGCAAGUCGAACGGCAGCAGACCUUCGGGUGCCGGCGAGUGGCGAACGGGUGAGUAAUGCAUCGGAACGUACCUUUCAGUGGGGGAUAACGUAGCGAAAGUUACGCUAAUACCGCAUAUUCUGUGAGCAGGAAAGCAGGGGAUCGCAAGACCUUGCGCUGAUUGAGCGGCCGAUGUCAGAUUAGCUAGUUGGUGAGGUAAAGGCUCACCAAGGCGACGAUCUGUAGCGGGUCUGAGAGGAUGAUCCGCCACACUGGAACUGAGACACGGUCCAGACUCCUACGGGAGGCAGCAGUGGGGAAUUUUGGACAAUGGGGGCAACCCUGAUCCAGCCAUGCCGCGUGAGUGAAGAAGGCCUUCGGGUUGUAAAGCUCUUUCGGCCGGGAAGAAAUCGCACGGGCUAAUACCCUGUGUGGAUGACGGUACCGGAAUAAGAAGCACCGGCUAACUACGUGCCAGCCGCCGCGGUAA